AUGGGCGAAAGCCUGAUCCAGCCAUGCCGCGUGAGUGAUGAAGGCCUUAGGGUUGUAAAGCUCUUUCGCCAGGGAAGAUAAUGACGGUACCUGGAUAAGAAGCCCCGGCUAACUUCGUGCCAGCAGCCGCGGUAAUACGAAGGGGGCUAGCGUUGUUCGGAAUUACUGGGCGUAAAGCGCACGUAGGCGGUUUUCCAAGUUGGAGGUGAAAUCCCCGGGCUUAACCUGGGAACUGCCUCCAAGACUGGGAGACUCGAGUCCGAGAGAGGUGAGUGGAAUUUCCAGUGUAGAGGUGAAAUUCGUAGAUAUUGGAAAGAACACCAGUGGCGAAGGCGGCUCACUGGCUCGGUACUGACGCUGAGGAGCGACAGCGUGGGGAGCAAACAGGAUUAGAUACCCUGGUAGUCCACGCCGUAAACUAUGGGUGCUAGUUGUCAGGCAGCUUGCUGUUUGGUGACGCAGCUAACGCAUUAAGCACCCCGCCUGG
rnacentral:rRNA from 1 species